UGUUCAGGAGAGAGAGGGACUCGUGGCGUGCCAGCAGCUCACUGAGCAAUGGCCAUGCCCCCACAGUGACGGAGACUGGGGGCGUGGCUCAUGAUCGCGGCAAUACCGCAAAGUCACAUCCCCUUUCUAUGAAGCCACGUCCCCUUUAUAUGAAGCCACACACCCUCUUUUCAGUGGGCGUGGCUCCCUCGUUAAAGUUGGGAGGUAUGCUAUAGUAUGGGGAACAGUAACAUUAUAUUACAUAGGAUAGGGGUCAGUUAUACCCGUGUCUGCGUGUCACUGAGGUUACUGCUUAGUAUGAUCUGUCUUUGCGUCCCAUGCGCGGUUUUAUUAAUGACACAGCGAGGCGUCACUGUUCUAGAAUACACGUUAUGGAGAUUCGUAAUGUAUUUCUAUGGCUGAUCAGGAAAGUAGGAAAUGAUCCUGUCUGAGAAUAGGGAACGGAGAGAAAUGGUCUGCAGGACUUCCAACCAGAAGCCAGAGAGGAAAAACUCAUUACCCUCCACAUACCUCAAUCCAAGUGGGAGCAAGAGACAGAGGGAAAGGAGGAGAGGAAGAGAGGGAUGGGGAGAGGGAAGAUCGAUCCACACAAGCCCCACAAGACGGCUCAGGCAGACAACAGAUCCUUGUAAUCCUAGGAAACUGACCGCUGCCUGAGGUCAAGAAACAUUUCCUCUUCCCAUUCAUGUUGCAGGAAGCCCACACACAGACUGAUACUCUGCUGCAGGAGAUCCACGGACAUGCGCGGUAAUCUGCAGCAGGGGAUGGGCCAUGAUUAUCUGAUUCACCUUUCACUAUGCCACACCCCAUUGUGCACAUACCAGCAGGCGUGGUUGCGGUAUUGCUUGGAGGCCAGAGUAUGGUUAGCUCUACCCUGCACUCCUGGACCCACACAGAGGCCCUGCCCCUGAAACUUCGCACUCGCUUCCCCACCUCUCAGCAAUCCUGCUCCCUGGAUAUGCCAGGACAAUAGGCAAGCUUGAUGUAUACAUUGCAGUCAUGCUUCGUAUAGCUCCAUGCAUAAUGCAGAACUACCCACUAUGAAAAUGGUGCGAUACAGUGCAGGCCCUGAUUUAUCAAGCAGGAUCAUAUAAUAGGUCUUAUACACAGGUGGCCCCAUCCCUGGUAUGGGGUACGAUUUCAUUUUGGUCUACAACUUGUGUUGACAUAAACUUCCCAUAUUAGAAGACAAGCAAGUAUAACAGAAAUGUUGCUUGAUAUAACUAAACACCGUUAAAUUUGACUUACGUUGGGGAUAUCAUUACAGAAGUCCAGGUGGGUGGUAUAGAAAACAUUCCCGGUGACAUAAAGGGUCCAUGGCCGUAGUUCCUGCCUGCAAUAACCUCAUAUUUAUAUGUAAAAAAUAUCCAAUAAUAACAGGCUUCAUUGAUUUGACAUGAGCGGAUUUGCUCUACUCACAUGGAGCCACAAUGUCGUUUUUAUAAGCUUGAAAUAAAGAUUUCUUUGUGUUUGAAAAGUAACAUAAACCGUUACGGUUUCAUCACAUCCACCGAGGCCAAGUGUACGGAGGUUCAAUCCUAACCGUAACCCUCAGCCAAUCAUUAGCUCCCGCUCACAUGGACCAAGCUCUACACCUACCUACUAUUACCCCCCCCUCCCCCCCCUAACUCCAGAUACAGGAAUCUCCAUU